GGAAACUUGGAUUAAUGCCCCAUGGUAACAUUGUAUCGCAUGAUAUUUUGUUUAAAGAUUUAUCGGACAGGGAUGGCCAUGCGUACCAUUAGCUAGUUGGUAAGGUAACGGCUUACCAAAGCUACGAUGGUUAGGGGCCCUGAGAGGGGGAUCCCCCACACUGGUACUGAGACACGGACCAGACUCCUACGGGAGGCAGCAGUGAGGAAUAUUGGACAAUGGGCGGGAGCCUGAUCCAGCCAUGCCGCGUGCAGGAUGACUGCCCUAUGGGUUGUAAACUGCUUUUAUACGGGAAGAAACCUACUUACGUGUAAGUAGCUGACGGUACCGUAAGAAUAAGGACCGGCUAACUCCGUGCCAGCAGCCGCGGUAAUACGGAGGGUCCGAGCGUUAUCCGGAAUCAUUGGGUUUAAAGGGUCCGUAGGCGGGCCUAUAAGUCAGGGGUGAAAGGCCACGGCUCAGC
rnacentral:rRNA from 1 species